UCUUAUGGAUGAGCAAAGAAAGUGGUUUCUUGAGGUAAAGUCUACUCCUGGUGAAGAUGCUGUGAC
rnacentral:pre_miRNA from 1 species